GACAGAGGUGCCGAGCGUUAGGCGGAAUCACUGGGCUUAAAGCGUGUGUAGGCGGAUGCCUAAGUACCUUGUGAAAAUCCCACGGCUCAACCGUGGAACGGCUGGGUAUACUGGCGGUCUUGGGCCAUUCAGGGGCGACUGGAACAAGCGGUGGAGCGGUGAAAUGCGUAGAUAUCGCUUGGAACGCCGAAGGUGAAAACAGGUCGCUGGGGAUGUGCCGACGCUGAGACACGAAAGCCAGGGGAGCAAACGGG
rnacentral:rRNA from 1 species